GCGUCGGUGGUGCAACGAUUCAGCACAUGCUCCCGUAAAGAGUGAGAUCUGGGUUCGAACCCCGGCCGAGGCA